UACGUAGGGAGCAAGCGUUGUCCGGAAUCAUUGGGCGUAAAGAGCGCGUAGGCGGCCCUGUAAGUCCGUUCUGAAAGUCGGAGGCUCAACCUCCGAAAGCGGAUGGAUACUGCAGGGCUAGAGUCCGGAAGAGGCGAGUGGAAUUCCUGGUGUAGCGGUGGAAUGCGCAGAUAUCAGGAGGAACACCAAUAGCGAAGGCAGCUCGCUGGGACGGUAUUGACGCUAAGGCGCGAAAGCGUGGGGAGCGAACAGG
rnacentral:rRNA from 1 species